CAACCCUCAAGACCCCUUCGGGGGACUUGGUGUUGGGGACCGGCCCCGGCCGCCCCCCAAAUGCAGUGGCGACCUCGCCGCAGCCUCCUCUGCGUAGUAGCACAACCUCGCACCGGAGCGCGGAGACGGUCACGCCGUAAAACGCCCAACUUAUUUUAG
rnacentral:misc_RNA from 1 species